rnacentral:rRNA from 1 species
UGGGGAAUAUUGCACAAUGGGCGCAAGCCUGAUGCAGCCAUGCCGCGUGUAUGAAGAAGGCCUUCGGGUUGUAAAGUACUUUCAGCGGGGAGGAAGGCGAUAAGGUUAAUAACCUUGUCGAUUGACGUUACCCGCAGAAGAAGCACCGGCUAACUCCGUGCCAGCAGCCGCGGUAAUACGGAGGGUGCAAGCGUUAAUCGGAAUUACUGGGCGUAAAGCGCACGCGGGCGGUCUGUCAAGUCGGAUGUGAAAUCCCCGGGCUCAACCUGGGAACUGCAUUCGAAACUGGCAGGCUAGAGUCUUGUAGAGGGGGGUAGAAUUCCAGGUGUAGCGGUGAAAUGCGUAGAGAUCUGGAGGAAUACCGGUGGCGAAGGCGGCCCCCUGGACAAAGACUGACGCUCAGGUGCGAAAGCGUGGGGAGCAAACA